rnacentral:rRNA from 1 species
GAUGAACGCUGGCGGCGUGCCUAAUACAUGCAAGUCGAACGAAACUUCUUUAUCACCGCUUGCUUGCACUUACCGAUAGAGGGUUGAGUGGCGAACGGAUGACUAACAUAUGGGCCACCUGCACCAAAGAGGAGGAUAACACAUGGCAACAUGUGCUAAUACCCCAUAACCAUAAUUACCGCAUGGUAACUAUGUAAACGGUUGCAAUUCUACCGCUUUUGGAUGGGCCCGCGGCGCAUUAGCUAGUUGGUAGGGUAAAGGCUUACCAAGGCAACGAUGCGUAGCCGAAUUGAGAGGUUGAUCGGCCACAUUGGGACUGAGACACGGCCCAAACUCCUACGGGAGGCAGCAGUAGGGAAUCUUCCACAAUGGGCGAAAGCCUGAUGGAGCAACGCCGCGUGAGUGAAGAAGGUCUUCGGAUCGUAAAACCCUGUUGUUAGAGAAGAAAGUGCGUGAGAGUAACUGUUCACGUUUCGACGGUAUCUAACCAGAAAGCCACGGCUAACUACGUG